rnacentral:rRNA from 1 species
AGAUUGAACGCUGGCGGCAGGCCUAACACAUGCAAGUCGAGCGGCAGCACGGGUACUUGUACCUGGUGGCGAGCGGCGGACGGGUGAGUAAUGCCUAGGAAUCUGCCUGAUAGUGGGGGGAUAACGCUCGGAAACGGACGCUAAUACCGCAUACGUCCUACGGGAGAAAGCAGGGGACCUUCGGGCCUUGCGCUAUCAGAUGAGCCUAGGUCGGAUUAGCUAGUUGGUGGGGUAAUGGCUCACAAGGCGACGAUCCGUAACUGGUCUGAGAGGAUGAUCAGUCACACUGGAACUGAGACACGGUCCAGAC